AGGAGAGGAGGCCCAUAAAAAGGGCGUGAAAGAAACUGAAGGAGAGCAGUUGUUCCACGAGUUCGCUUUGGGAGCCCGCUGGAUUGUUGUGAAAGGGGGCGGGUGAGGGCAAGCCGGAAAAAUGAAACGAAGAGUAAAGACGAGCAUCUGGAUGAAGGAAGCCAAUGGCAGAUGAAAAGUAGCCUUCAACGAAGGAGUGAAAAGCCACGUUUGUUCCGGCGUUCACGGAAGAGCGAAGCGGGUGCUCGUUUUCCGUCGAUCGCUGUGUGUGAAGCGGAGGUCUAUGGUGUGUUUGGAGAGACAUCUUUUGUGUGGAUUUGUAGGCUGGGCGAAAUCAAGACAGGAGAAUUGGGCUGAAAUAAAGACGGAGAUAAGUGCUGAACUCAUUUAUACUGCAGUGAUGCGCUGUUGAUUCUACUGUGUAUGUUGAAGAAAUCUUAUAUGUCGAAAGGAUGGAGGAGUCUGCAUAAACAAGGCCCUGGAUGGUUGGGACAUCUGUAAGGAAAAAGGGAAGAAGGAGUUAAAGGAACAGUGCGAUACGUUGGAGUUUGUCUUGUUAUCACUCUGUCACUUGCAAUAUUAACCAUACUGUCCUCUUAGUUUGUCUUUGUUCCCUGAUUGAGUGUGUUAGCCCCCAGCUUGUUGUGAAAAUUCAUUGACACAUUGGAGUCGGCGGAGGAAGGGAAGGGCUCAAGUAGUCGUGGCCUUGACGUUUACAUAUGGUUGUCUUCUGCCUUAGUCAUCGAACGAUACAGGACUCUGAACACGGCCCAACGGGUGACCCUGACCUUCAUCACCGUGAGUGCGUGGAGUGCGGUGGGUGAUUAUUUUGUGAGAGUGUACACUUGGAUUUUUGGAGUGCUGUGUAUUGUCAGUGUUGUCAGCGAUCACUUCCCAGGCUGAAGAAAGAGACCUGUUUCCGAAGAGCAGAGUGGUGGCACUGGACAGCUGUCUUUUAUUCCUAUACGACUGGGACAGAUUCAACUCCUCCCACGCCUGUGGUGGCGCCUCGACUGUAGCAAGUAAGGCUGGGCUGUGAACAUUGUGUUCGACAUCUGCAGAGGGAGAGCUUGUAUCUAUCUAUUUGUGGUGGGGAAAAAGUGUACUUACUGUUGUUGUGUAUAACUAUACACGUGUCGAGUGUUUCCAGAUGUCAAUCUAUGUCCAUAUCUUCUGCCUGGUUGUCUGAAAGAAAGUUGAGGUGAAGUGGCUGGCCCCGCUCUUGUAGCACGCUGUACCGUACGACCCCCCCACCUCCAUCUACCUACCUCUGUGACCCCAUCUAGUGGGUGCGUUUGUCUAAACAACAAUCCGCCUCACCCGGUGCCUCCAUCUGCCCCUUUCCUGCCUGAAGCUAAGAGGUGGUGUAAUCCUCCUUGCAUGUUCCUUGAAGUAUUGUUAUUGUCGAAGAGAUUGUGUGUCUUUGCUGCCAGCCUGCAGGUCCGAGCCAAGGGCUCUGUGUCGUCGAGGGAUUGUGUUAUCCUAUGCCCUGAAGUUGACGCCUAAGUGGUCGUCGUAAGUCUGUUCGAGAGAGGAAGACUAGAAGUCGUUGUGUGCCUAUACGUCUGCUCCAACCACCAGAGUGUCAAGAAGGAUAAGCCUUGUACAUCCGCCCAUUCCCUUGCCAGAAAAGAGGCUAGAAACGUUCACUUGUAGUUCACCUGUGAGACGCAAAGAGAGGAAGCCGGGAAGACUUACAUGUAGUUCACGUGGAGACGAAGAGAGAGGGAAAGUCAGGAAGACUUACCUGCAGUCUACGUGAACAGUCAGAAGUGACUCGGAUCACUGUUCCCUCAGUUCCAGAAAGCUCACCAUUUUUAGAACCCUUCCCCCUUUCCCUGUUUUUAAUUAAAUAAAGACUGUUACAUUUUA